UGCUUUCAUCUCACGCACAACACUCUCUCUCUCUCUCUCUCUCUAUAUAUAUAUAUAUAUAUAUCUGUAGGUACCUCGUUCUUCAUCUUUGAGCCCCCAAUUCGAUCUAACAACAAAAAUCAUGUUUAAUCAUUUGUUCCAAGCCAAAAACAAGUUCAGACUGAUACCAACACGCUUGCUAUCGAGCAAGGUUCCCUGCCCUGUUCCACCACCCUUGGAUCUACAAUGCAUAAAAAACUUCACGGAAAUGACGACAAUGCCGGUGUUAACUGAACCCACUUUGUGGGAAAAGACUAUUGCUCACAUAUCUCCGUACAUCCCAUUUCUUGAACCAUUCGCUCCUCUUGUUGGUUUUCUCGCAGCUCAUCCUAUAUAUUUUGUUCAUGGGGGUAUCCUACUGCAUGUAUCCCCGUUUACUCAAAUUAAGAUGAUUUGAAGAAUGCGGCUGAUACAAGUGAAAGUUUUGUGUGGGCUAGCUAAGCGGAAACUCGUGGUAAAGCAAGCAUUUAGCAGAUUUUACUGAUGGAGCUGAGGAUAAUGGUGUUGGUUGUUAGACAUGCUAGAGAUUUGGGAAUGUUUAAAUAUUGUUGUACGUACAUUCAUCACUACUCCUAAUUAAAUGGUGAUAAUAAGUGGGAAGCAAGUGAGAAAUUUUUUCAUGUAUUUUAAAAAUUUUCAUGAAUUCUUAAAAGUUUUUUUUUUUUA